UACGUAGGGUGCGAGCGUUGUCCGGAAUUAUUGGGCGUAAAGAGCUUGUAGGCGGUCUGUCGCGUCUGCCGUGAAAUUUCGGGGCUCAACCCCGAACUUGCGGUGGGUACGGGCAGACUAGAGUGUGGUAGGGGAGACUGGAAUUCCUGGUGUAGCGGUGAAAUGCGCAGAUAUCAGGAGGAACACCGGUGGCGAAGGCGGGUCUCUGGGCCGUUACUGACGCUGAGGAGCGAAAGCGUGGGGAGCGAACAGG
rnacentral:rRNA from 1 species